UCAGAUUUUGGAAAGACCCCACCUGGAUCAUCAGCGCCCCAUCUCCCAUGGUCAUUUUUUCUUUUCAUCAAAUGAAAGAAGACAAACACAACAGAUCCCUCUCCUUUUCCUGAUAGAGAACAACCAACUACCCUCACUCACCUCUGAAUCUCCCAUAUUCCCCACUCCCUCCUCGCAAAUCUGCCGCUCAGUCCAAAAACUCGCCGGAAAUUCGAGCACACAGAUGCACACGAGCAGCACCUCCCAUCCGACUUCGCUUCUUCACUGUCUCAAUUUCCGUUUCUCUGCUUCGUAACUUCUAGCGUGAAGCGACGAAACUGUUGUUCGCUACUGUUCUGCUAUUGUUAGAUCUUAAGUUUCCUGCCAGAGCUUGUUCACUUGCUGUUGUUUGGAGUUAAUUUUGCUACUGCUGCUGUUAAACACUCGCUGGCUAGUGGCUGAUUUUCACGCUUGAUUGUCUUUGGCCUUUAUUUGGUCUUUGGAUUUCAGGCUGAUUUCGGAUAGAUUGGAUCUCUUCAGUGGACAGGUGAAGGGGAUUAGUAAGGAAGACUGUGGACUGUAUGUGCUUACCUCUGGGAGUAUAAUGCAAGCAAUGGAGGAUGCACCUACUACAAGAAAUUCAAGUUUUGUUCCAAAAUCUCUCACUGUAAAUACCACUGAGUUUACUAGAAUAAAUGUUGCCCUAUGGCAUAGUAGGCUAUGUUAUGUUCCUUUGGAUAUACUGAAAAAAGUAAGUGAACUUCAGUUUGUGAAUUUUGAUGAUACUAAACACCAUUGUACUGUCUGCCCAGUUGCUAACCAAA